rnacentral:rRNA from 1 species
GUCAGUGAGCACAUACUCACUAUGUCUGGGUUACAUAACCGCUUGACUCAGCUGGGAGUUAAUCUCCCGGAUGACACGGUCAUUGACAGAAUCCUUCAGUCGCUUCCACCGAGCUACAAGAGCUUUGUGAUGAACUUCAAUAUGCAGGGGAUGGAAAAGACCAUUCCUGAAGUAUUUGCAAUGCUGAAAUCAGCAGAGGUAAAAGUCAAAAAGGAACAUCAAGUGUUGAUGGUGAAUAAAACCACUAAGUUUAAGAAGGGCAAGGGUAAGAAGAACUUCAAGAAGAACGGCAAGGGAGUUGCCGCGCCCGGUAAGCAAGCUGCCGGGAAGAAGCCAAAAAAUGGACCCAAGCCCGAGACUGAGUGUUUUUAUUGCAAGGGAAGUGGUCACUGGAAGCGGAACUGCCCCAAAUACUUAGCGGACAAGAAGGCCGGCAUCACGAAA